GUUAUUCUAUCAAAUGGAUUUCUGAGCAAGAACACUUUCGCUUCAUUUCUGACAUUUUUCUGUUGAUUUUUUUUUUUAAACUCGAGAUGCACGAAAUCGUGGCAUAUGGAAGAUUUUUUGGCUAAAGAGUUGAUCGUCAUGUUGCCGAUUUUUCAUUUUGUUGCAACGAAAUCAAUAUUCUCCCUAUCAGAUCGAAGAUUGCAAUUGCCAUUAGAUUGACUAAUUUGAAGAUCAAUCCGAUCAAACAAUCAAAUUCUUACAUGAC